UUCUGUGCACUACUUAGAUAGGAAACACGCGGUCCAUUCUCUUAUGUCGAUGGGUAGCAGUAGCAGCCAGUAAGGCAACAUGGAUUCCGUGGCAAACCUCGUUAAGGUUUCAGUUCCAAAUUAUUUGGCUGGAUUACCGAUUCCAUCGUCGAUCGGAGGAUGGUUUCGACUGGGAGUUCGCGACUGGUUAUCACUGAUACCGCCAACUGCCCUGAUGGCCGGAAUCGGUUUCAUGUCAUACAGGGCGUUUUGCCCUCAUGGAAGGCCACCGCCCUCCAGUCACAUAAAUCCUAAGAUAAAGAAGGACUCCGCCAAGGUUGUCGACUCCAUCGAUGUAGAAGAUAUUACUGAAAAAGCUGUUAUGUGCCGCUGCUGGCGGAGUGAGAAUUGGCCGUACUGCGACGGCGCUCACGGACGGCACAAUAAGGAAACCUGUGACAACGUAGGACCUCUUGUUAUCACAAAGAAGAAUUAGGGACUUUUUAACAAAGUACUGAAAAUCAAGGCCCAUUACGCACAGGGACAUGCGAACAGUAUAUCUCAUCAUACAAGUCAUUGCAACUGAUCAAUCAGAUUGACCAGAAUUAUAAAGAGAGAGUUGCCAAAUACAGGGAAGAGACUUAAUCACUAUAUUCAGCGAGAAAUCUUCGAAAUUAUCAUUUUACGCAACUGAGUUUACUAGUUGUCAUAAUAUCAUCAGAAAAACUGUACACGUAAGAAAUGAACGGACGAAAUUUGUAAAUUUUUUGAUAUUCAUUGUUGUCUUCUAUUUUUGUUGCGAAGUAUCCUAGAAAAGUUGUAUAUCUGCUGUAUUAAUUUAUGAAUAAAUCAGAAUAUAUUCAAUA
rnacentral:misc_RNA from 1 species